UUUGUCCUCUGCCGGCCCCGAAAUUCAGUGGCGGCCCGUUGCGGCGACCUCUGCGUAGUAACUCAACCUCGCACCGGUAACAGCAUCGUGGCCACGCCGUAAAACCCCCGACUUUUAUAAGGUUGACCUCGAAUCAGGUAGGACUACCCGCUGAACUUAAGCAUAUCA
rnacentral:rRNA from 1 species